AUGAGCCCUUUUUCCAGAAAAGCACCACAGUUAAGCAAAAGCGGACGGGACUGUCAAAACCGGCAGCUUUUUAACCGAGCGCCCGAGAGCGGCCAGCGAGGGGAGAGGCUCGUUUGCGCAAUCGGCCGCCAACUGCGGCAAGCGCUGAUGCAAGAAGUGAGGGAGGCUGGAUUAAAAAAGCCAAAUGAUGAGAGAGAACCGAGCAACGUGUCCGGCCGGUGCGAAAUCCCCGGCUACACGGCUUUGCAAGGGAAGCGUCCCUCGCUAAGCCCAAACCAGCCAGCAACUAAAGCGGAGUGGGAAACGCGAAGGCUCUUAAUGAAACGCUCACGCUCCAGCAAAAGUCUAAAUGGAUCCAGUGUUUGGCUGAACRGCGUUUAUAUCCCAGCGAAGCCUUGUUUUCCCAUCAGCUCUUUGAAGUGCCCAAUUAAGUGAUUUUCUACUAAUAGGAUUUUCCCAGGAAAGAAAGGCAAGACUGACAAAACGCUGAAUGCUUGAUUAACUCGGCCCCUAAAAGGACUUGGAUCGUGUUAAUCGACUGGUUCCCGGCCAUCUCCAGCCCUCGUUUGCUCCAUUUAUGCAGGCAUUUUGAUGAGACAUCGGCCCCGGCAGCAGGAUCCCACCAGGCGCAACCGGUGGGAUGAGACGGGCCCUGAAAYGAGGCCUUUGCUUCCUGGAAAUAUCCCCGGAUGCGGGAGCUGUGAAUUGUUCGCUUCAUUCAGCCCCGUGCUCGUUUUCAUCCAACAUUGGGUGGUUUUUGUUCUUUUUUUUUAGGCCCGUUCACAGUCAUUAACGUAAUUGCUUCACCGACUUUCCAUGAGCGAUUUGGGCGGKUUUUUUUUUUUCCCCUUCUGGCUGGCAGCAAAGAGCCUCAUUGUUCGCGUCCCYGAGGGGCUGCAGCAAGUACCUGCCUUUGGAUGUCGCCUGGACGUGCUUGUUUGCUCGCUGCUCCCCGCCGUCCGCUGCGACGGGGGGCUGGCGGCGUGCAAAGCGCCCCGGCGGCCCCGCUGCGGGUGCUCAGCGCCCACGAGGAUGCAGCCGCCGGCCUGAUUCGCAUCCCGCUGCUGAGAGCCCGAGUCGGUGUCGGCAGCGGGAGAGGGGCCCCAGGGCUCCGCGGAUUCGCUCGGAAGCUGCAGAGCUCUGGCCCUUUGUAGGCGGGCGCGAGGACAUGACUACGGCGAGCUGUUGACUCAGGCUGGCUCACGCCAGGCACUUUAAAAAUAAUCUCUGAUUGCGCGGGGCGCCCUCCGCCCAGCCUAGUCAAACACGGCGCCGGGUGCCCGCGGGACGAGGUGCUCGGCUGUCGGCGGCCGGGCCAGCGGCAGAGUCGCAGCACCAGAGAGUCUCCCCGCGAGCCGCCGGCGCCGGCAGCUUCGCCCGGCAUCUCCCUGCUCCCCAGCACCGUGCGUGCAUCAAACUCCGCAGAAACGGGGUAACGUGGGCGAGGGYGGCCCCGGCGCCGUGCUUCACGUAACCUUUGCACGGGGUUUUGCAAGGGCUGGUGCAGGCGGAGGAGCUGCGCUCCAGCUGUCAGCACGGACACAGGGCCAGGCGAGCGGGAAGGGGGAUGCAUCGGGCGGUGCAGAGGCAGGAAAGGGGGGAGGAGGUCUGUGUCCGGCUGCAUGCAGCCGCCGUGGUGCCACGAGGAAAAGGGGCGUCCAAGCUGGCGGCUGCAGGGAGGCAUCGCCCAGCCCGCGCACCGUCGCUGAGGGCUGUCUUGCAUCGUGGCUCGUGCUGCUGCCCGGUGCCGUAUGGAGCAAGAAAGGGCAGGGCACAAGCGUGUGUGCACAACUCGCAGUGAACCCGUCGGUAACGACACGACAGCCGCCACCUAGACGCCAGGGUAAGGCUUGAUUGCACUUUCCUUGUCAUCUGUUACUCAUAUUCAGCAGGAACUCCCGGACUUCUGGGGAGUGGAGCAGCCUUUGCCCCAGGCUGAACCUAGGACGUCCUUGACACUGCACGCUGACACGCAAAACUGUGUCAGAUCCCCAGCGACACGGACCACCAUGACCCAUUUCCAGGGACGGAGCUUUGGUCAGUUCCACCAAAUGAGGAUCCAACCUGGGGAUUUCCAAGCGCCAACAGAAAACCUUUUUCUUUUGGUUUCAUCCUCCCUCGCUAGUUUCUCUGCCUUGCCGAUGAGCGUCAACAUUGCACCACGGAAAAGACAGUUGAUGGAUCAUGGAGUCGCUGUCGGUAGUGGAACAGGCGGCUGGAUGUAGGUUGGAAGUGCUCCCUCCUUCACCUGCCACCAGUCACCCUGAGCCAGGGCCCUUCCCGUCACCCCGUAGCAAACUUGGGAGUCGUAGGAGAAGACCAAAAGUUUUACAGAAGACCAGAAGCUCCAGCUGUAAUAUGCCACAAAGAGAGCAAGAGAGACAAAGAGAGGGAGGGAGGUCAUCACCAACAGCAGGAAUAUGGAGACCUGAAAAUAUCCAUGCUACGGAGGAGGUCAAAAACCACUGCACUGGUCUCUAUCAAAUUGAUGUAGGGGGAAAACUCCUGACUCCAAAUCUGAUGAACGUUUAACCAUGAGUUUAUGAGCAGGACAUGUCAACUAGGCGCCUGCAAGUAGUAAUAUUGGCAGGAGCACCGGCGUACCACACCUGAACCCUAUCUCUCGAGCUGCGGCAACCUCCUCCCCAAAAGCUUAUAAUAGUCAUGCAUGAAAAGCUGAUCAAUUCAACAUUUGCUAGCACCAGGAAACACUGCCCUGAAUCCAGUAGAUAGACAUUCUUCAGUAACCUACGGCGUUUUAAUGCAGUGGCAAAUAAUGCCACUAUUAGUCAGAAACCAGGGCCUGCAAACGACGCCAAACGCUCUGUCCCUGGUGGAGGCAGCUGCUAGGAGCAGCUUCCUCGCGGAGACACGGCUGCCCGCCUGCUCACGUGGCGUGCUGAAUAUUCACGUGCGAAGCAGCCUCUGCAGACAGCAAAGAUAACGCUCCUCUCUCACAGCUGGCGGGAGCGAUCUUCCAGCCAGCUGAGAAGCGACACCCCGGGUGACAGGGCGCCCCACCCUGAUACCGCGGCUCCACCCUGAUACCGCGGCUCCUAAGGCGACGCUGCCGGCCUGCCAAGGGCCUCGCGCCCGGAGCAGCCCUUCGCCGCUCGUGCUGGCCGCCGGCACCGCGCCGCAGCUGCGCACGUCGCAGAUACGUUGCAGCCGGCCAGCGUUUUCACGUGCCGCCCGCCCAAAGCAGCCUAAGGACAGUCUCUGACUGCGACCAGGAUCGUGCAAGGGAAUUUGAGGAUUAACGCUGCUGAAAUCUGUGGAAAAAUCAUCUGCAGUUGGGCUUUAUAAAAAGAAAAGGAUGGGGAGGAUGCACAGUUGCUGUUCGGGUUGGGUUAAAUGAGUUGGUGCCACUGCAAAUAAAAGCUACUCCCACAAAAAUACUGGCA
rnacentral:lncRNA from 1 species